CAGCUGUGGGAAAGGCUUUAGGAACAGACCGUGUUUGCAUAGACACACCUACUCUGCCUAGACUGUGCAGUGACGCCCUCCCUACCCCAGGCCUCUGGAGCCUUUGGAGCAGAAAGAUCCCAGGAGCUGAGGAGGAAUCCAGGGGAUGGCAGGUGAACUGUACAGAGGCACCUCUGGGCUUGCACUGACUAAGGACAACAGCUGUGAGUGGGGUGCAGAGAGGGGAUGGCUCAUGUUAAAGGACUUUUGGUUGCUGGACUUACAAACCAUAGGGGGAAGGACACUGCCCAGCUU